rnacentral:rRNA from 1 species
AGGAUGAACGCUGGCGGCGUGCCUAACACAUGCAAGUCGAACGAAGCACUGCGGAUGGAGAUUACGUCAAAAUCUGCUUUGACUUAGUGGCGGACGGGUGAGUAAUGUGUGAGCAACCUGCCUUUCAGAGGGGGACAACAGUUGGAAACGACUGCUAAUACCGCAUAAUGUAUUGGAAGGGCAUCCUUUUGAUACCAAAGGAGCAAUCCGCUGAAAGAUGGGCUCACAUCUGAUUAGCUAGUUGGUGGGGUAACGGCCUACCAAGGCUGCGAUCAGUAGCCGGACUGAGAGGUUGAACGGCCACAUUGGGACUGAGAUACGGCCCAGACUCCUACGGGAGGCAGCAGUGGGGAAUAUUGGGCAAUGGGCGAAAGCCUCGACCCAGCAACGCCGCGUGAAGGAAGAAGGUCUUCGGAUUGUAAACCUCUUUUAUGAGGGACGAAGGACGUGACGGUACCUCAUGAAUAAGCCACGGCUAACUACGUGCCAGCCGCCGC